rnacentral:rRNA from 1 species
GACGGAAGGUGCAAGCGUUGCUCGGAAUUACUGGGCGUAAAGCGUGCGCAGGCGGUGAUGUAAGACAGGGGUGAAAUCCCCGGGCUUAACCUGGGAACUGCAUUUGUGACUGCAUCGCUGGAGUGCGGCAGAGGGGGAUGGAAUUCCGCGUGUAGCAGUGAAAUGCGUAGAUAUGCGGAGGAACACCGAUGGCGAAGGCAAUCCCCUGGGCCUGCACUGACGCUCAUGCACGAAAGCGUGGGGAGCAAACAGG